AGGUGUUCUCUCUUUAAAUCUGAGGCCGAAUUCGUAGCUUUUCAAGACGAUUUGAAGGUUAUCUAGUUUCCAGGAGAAGCUGGUGUCGUGGAUCGAGGGACCAUAAUUCAAGAAUCACUGCUGUGAAAUGUUAAGACUGAAUUUCCCCGGCCACACUUCACAGUGAAGCACUGUAAAAGGAGAUGAACAUAUUCCCAAGUGUGCCCAACAUUUGCAUCGCAUCCCAGUUCUUACGCAAUUACUCUGUAAACGUAUAAAAAUCUGCACGUGCUCGUCAGCAAAGCCCAGGAUAAUUUAUCAGCAGAAAUGGUGCUCGGUCAUAAAUCUAUCCCUGGGGGCCUGGACCACAGAGUUGACUACAAGGCAUCAUGUGUGCUGAUUUGAAGAGAAUCUUCUAAGCACUGAUUAUCCCAAAAGAGGCACACAAUUUAAUUUGUAAUCCUCUGAAUUCUCCUGUCAUUCAGGCAGAAGAGUUAUGUAAUAGAGAGACAGCUUCCGAAAUGGGUUCAUCAAUCAACAACAAAACAAAAAACAAAAAAAAAUGGGUUUAUCAUUUUCUUUCAUUCGUUCAUUCUUUUAUGUAUUCCUUCUUCAAAAACUUUUCAACAUCUAGUUUAUAUCAAGGAUUAUGAUAGAAAGUAGGGGGAACUCGAAAUUUUUACCUCAAGGAACCUUCCAUUCUGAGACAAAGGAAACAUGAUUCUGAGACAAAGAAGGCAUCAUGACUAACAUUUGUAUGAAUAUUAAAGUAUAUAAAGCAUUCUCAUAUUUUACCUCCUGUGAUCAUCAGUGGAUACCUCUAAGAUUACCAUGCCGAAGUGUGACAAAGACUCUGAAACACCUAAGAUGCCUUUCUUUAUGGGGACUUCCAGUAAAUUCAUUGGCAUUAUCUUUGCAUGAGUUAUGCCUUAAACUGAGAAAAGACUUCUCAGGUUCAGCUUUCGCUGUUUCUCUCAGACCUCCACAGCUCACCCCCCAUUGAACCGGAGCUCCAGUUUCCAGGUGGUCAGAAACCGGAGCAAGCGAAGAGUCAAUGCCAAGGGGCUUCAGCUCUUUCUUUCUCCUGUCGCCCUAAAGAAGGAAUCUCAGCAUGUCAUCAUUCAAUAAAUUGAGCUCUGUACAGCGGCCUUUACAGAACUGUAAAAGAUGGGUUCUCAUUAAAAGAACAGUCAAGAAGCAUCACAGAAGUGAGAUCAGCGCUGGAACCAAAGAGAAACGUGUGUGUAAUAAAGUACACAGAGCUGGAUUCAUUAGUUUUGUGUUUUCUAAAGAAUUAUACUAAAGCACCACAGAUUUCUCAGCUCUAUAAAACAUGGAGAGCAAUCGUCUUUCCCAAUGUCCAUUAGUAAACUUACUAGGAAAUCACUCGGAAACUUUGGCAUGUUCAACAAUAGCAUUCAUGUCUUUCAUCAUUUCUGACAGUCAGGAGUUUGGGGGCAGCUUGAAUGAGUGGUUCUGGCUGGAGGAUUCUCCUGAGGCUAUUAGGUGGUGGCCAAGACCAGGGUGCUUGAAGACUUCUUACAUCAUGGCCUGGACUAAGAAGAGCCAAACAGGGUAAACAAGACACAGGCUUUCUUAGGCAACUCUUUGUGGCCCCUCCUCAUGAUUGCCUCAGGGUGGUGGCUUCAAGGUGGCCUAGGAUAUUUUUUUAAGAUUUUCUUUAUUUAUUCAUGAGAGACAUAGAGAAAGGCAGAAACAUAGAGGGUGAAGCAGGCUCCAGGCAGGGAGCCUGACACAGGACUCAAUCUCAGGACCCCAGGAUCAUGACCUAAGCCAAAGGCAGAUGCUCAACCACGAGCCAUUCAGGCAUCCGGUUGGCCUAGGAUUCUUACAUGGCAUUUAGGGAUGCAAAAGUGUGUGCCCUGAGCUGACCUAUGUUCUAUAAGCAAACUCCAGAAGACACACAGUGAACUUUUGUCCACAUUCAAGGUCAAGAUGGAAAGAGGAACUGCCCAACUUCUCAAUAAAGGGAUGUUAACAUCACAGUGGGAGAAAAAACUGGGAUCUUCCAUCCUUGAAAAGUACAAUCCAUGACAUGAAGGUUCUUAGAAUUCUAAAUGGACUCAGUUCAAGUUUACAAAUCAAAUCCCACCUGUUGAUUUUAGUGGGCUGAACUGGAUUUGUACUUCUAAUUAUAUCCCACCAUCUGACAGAGGGCUCUAUCCAGAGAGUUUAGUUAGUAGGUCUAUGGCCUAGCCAUGAUGCGUUCCACAGGGAAAAGAAUGAAGUCACAGGCUGGAAUCUAGUCCUUCUCUGACAUAAGUAACUAUGGGAACAGGUUUAACCACUCCAUGCUUUGGCUAAUAUGUAAAAUGAAGAUCAUACUAACUCCCCUUCCUGUUAUCACACAACUCAUGAGAACGAUUCAUGUAUUCAUGGGCCACACAAAUUUGAGGCUCUAAGAGGAAACCUAAACUGAUAGCAGAACUGUAUUCUCUCUAUGAUCCCAUCUAUAGAAUUUCAGAAACUCCAGCCACAUUCAAAUUACUCUUAAUUAAUUUUGGAAGUUCCAGGGAAAGGAUUGGCAUCCACUGUACCCUUUCCUCCUCUACAGUUCCUGAAUGUGAUGUCUUAGGAGAAUGUUAUCAUGCUCAAGUGGGAAUGCCACUAGCCAUCUCCAUUCGUGCUACUUAUUCUCAAAAGGAUGUUUUCUCGUGCUCCUGAGGACUCAGCCAUCGGGCUGUGGCAAAGAGAAAUCAGACUAGCAAAUGCCAGCUGGCUUUCAAAAUCACUCUUCCUCUUUAACCACAACCCUUAUCCUACAAUCAAGCUCUUGUGUCUUGACCCCUCUUACAUUUGGAAGAACUCCUUUCCAGUAAGCUCUUUGUUCCUCCAUGUAAAUAGAAACACAGCUGUCUGGCCUCAUGAGCCCUCGAAGCAUGACCAGACUUUCUCAAUCCCCAGAUUAGGUUAGGUUUUGCUGAUUUUAUCAUUAAUUGCAGUUCUAACUCAUCAGCCAUAGCUGACUGAAAUAUCCUGGAGGAGGGUAUAGGGUCAGAGGAAAGAGCACCUGCAUCAGUUAAUACCAUCUGCCAGAGGUACAGGAGGCAGGGGAUGGUAACAGGAAAUCUCAGUGUUACCCAAGUUGAGCCUGAACUGAGGCCAGAGGGUGCAGCAAGAUCCUAGCCUGCGAAUCCAGGCAACUGAAGGUGACGAGUUAGGAGUAUUGUCAGGACUGUGUGUAUGGCAGCCAGGGGCAUGGUGUGGGGAUGAGAAGACCGAAAUAGCAAAUACGCUAUGAUCCAUGAAAAUG